AGAGGCCGGUUCCCCUCGGUCUCUUGCUCUAGCGGCGGCCGAGGCGGGAGCCGCAAGCCAUGGCAGCGGCCCCCGCUGCAGCCCCCCACUUCCACCGCUGCAGCUCGGAUGCUGGGAUGCUGGCUGGGCGUCUAUUCCUUUCCCUCUCUCUUUCUUUCGGUCUGCCUGUCUGCCAGCCAGCAAGACUAGUUGUACGGUUUCCUGAGGGUAAGGUAUCCAAUAAUAGCUUGUUCAAGGAAGCCUAUGUUUUUCCUGCCUCCUUGCAAGUUUGAAAUUCUUUCUUGGUUUCCAGAAGUCUGUUAAUUUGGCGUGGGACGAAUUUGGUGUUGGAGCAGUAAACAGAAUUCUGCAAAGUGGGAAAGCACGAGAUGUUUCUGGAAUGAAAUACCAACCUACCCAGUGAUCAAUUGCCUACCUUAUCGAAAAGGGUGCACAAUAAAUAUAAUAUCUGUCCUGCAUCUAUAAAUCACUCCCAUGGCUUCUACCUCUUUCUCUUCCAAUAAAGUCUUCAAAUGAAUUUUUGUCUCUUCUGCUCAUCCCUAGCCUCCCUCCCUCCCUUUCUAAUUGUCAAGAGGGAAGAAGGAAGGAAGGAAAUAAAUCUCGUGUACAGUACGGCUCCCAGUUUUAGGAGACAGCUGAGCUUCGGUGUUUAUCAGAUAUUAAUUUUACGGCUGAGGAUGUGAGCCUGUGGUAUCUCUUGCAUACAGAUGAUUUUUCUCUUGACCUACUUCAUCAGACUGGCGGAGAGCAAGGACUUCUUCAAUAACUUAUAUCAAGCUUUUUCUGGCAAUGAUUCUUCCAAAAUUUACUACGGUUUUUCUCCUGGCUGGGAGACUUUCAAAAAGGAUGAUCGGAUUAAAUUCAAGCGACCAAUUUCUCUUGGCAGGUGCCAAGGAGAGUGGAAACCUACAACAUCCGUUCCUGAACUCCAGCUAAUUAUUUUUAAGCAUCUUUGUUUUUUCCCCACCCGAUUAUUUCCGAGAGAUGCAGGAGGAGAAAAAAGUCUCUAUUUCCAGCCUCUGGAAAUGGCUUUAGCAAAAACUGUGGUGACAGUUUCCUUGUUUAUCCUGCUGAUGUGUGCAGGCACGGGAAUGUAAGCGGAGAUAUUAUUGAAAACAAAUGAGAAAUUCUUGGCAGGCAAAAAAAAAUCACCUGGAGGGGGACAUUCAGGGCAAGGAAGAUGGAUGGGUGGGAGGAAGAAGCAAACAACCAAAAAGAAUUAACUUUACGGGUAUGUGAAAACAGAAGCGAAAAGUCGGCAGGUUUCUUCUGGAUCAGAACUUUCCAAAAGUUCAGGGAAGUGUUUGUAUAGCUCAGGAUAUUAGUAUUUUUUUUCCCCAGUCAGAGGAAUGUUUAGAGGAAAUAGAACCAAACAGCUUUUUCUUCAGGGAUUGCUGGAGUGACGGCUGUAGUAAAGUCUAUAUGACUUCUGGAACUGUGUUAUUUUUUUUUAUUUUUAAAGGAAUCACAAGUCCAAGGGCUCCAUUUUGUAGUAUCUCCCGAUGCAAAGCUUCUUUCCUGAGUGAUUAGAAGAAGAAGAAGAAAAAACCAUGUCAUUAAGCGAGGAGUGAAAUAAAGGGAAUUAUGGAGGUUGGGAUGAGUGGGUAAUUUAUCUAGAAUAGAAUAGAGUAGAGUAGAGUAGAGUAGAGUAGAGUAGAGUAGAGUAGAGUAGAAUAGAAUAGAAUAGAAUAGAAUAGAAUAGAAUAGAAUAGAACAGAACAGAACAGAACAGAACAGAACAGAACAGAACAGAACAGAACAGAA